UUCAGUGCGGCUACGUCUUUCAGCUAACUCGCUGCCUCUAGCGUGUUGCGAGUAAAAAAAGAUAAUCGCGGCGGUCGAUACGCAAACGUCAUAAAUGCCAAAGUGACAGCUGACGUCACGUGUGAAGGAGACGGGUGGCGGGAAAGAGACAGAAGAUAGGCAAGGAGUGUCCACUCGGUGACGGCGGUGCGGAAGUGCGUCACAUACGGCAGUUAUGACGUCACGGCGGACACCGGAAGUACAAGUGGCGCCGCUCCGGAACCGGAAGACGUCGCCUGACAUCUUACCAGAGGUCUCGGCAGUCGACGCCACGGACAGUAGACACCGUUAGCGCCUGAUGAAGCAGUUACUGUGAUGGAGAAUACGACCGGGAAAGUUUUUAAAGAGAAUUCCUGGGAUUCUAUCAGCUCCAAUGGGUUUUUAAGUUGUGUUGAGCAACCUGAUGACAAUCGAUAAAAUAAAACGAUUAUAAAAUAUUUGAAAAAAUGCUUACAGAAUUACAGAAUGUCUAGUGCAAAUAUAAGUUAGCAGCAUUGUUAUGGGAUGUUAGUUAUCCACGAUCCACAUACAGCAUUUUAUAUUAAUUCUCAUAUAGAUCACUUUGUCUUGAAUAAAAUCCAGUUGUUUUGGAAACAGAAUUAAAAAUUCAAAGGUCAAAGUGCUUAUGAAACACUCAUUGGGAUAUUUAUUACCCAUAAGAAUGCACACCACUUAAGGAGCCCUCCACUUAGGUCUUAACCUGAUAUUACUAGAAAACCAGGAAAAUCCAGAACGACAUGAGGGCCUUGUGUCAUCGAAAGAAUCUUGCAAUGUCACUGAAAUUCUAUGAUGUUUAUCAAGGACUAACCCGAAACUGGUGGAAAAUAAGAGCAAAAUCGCCAACUUCAGGGCAAUGACAUUCAGCAUCACGCAAAGGAAAGCAUCACCCGUAGAAGCAUCACUACGGCAAUCAUAGGUCUGCACUAGCUAUUGCUCGAUUUGGCAAGUCCUAACGCCAGAGCUACAAAAAUAUUAUGAGCGAAAUCCAACUUCAGGGCAACGACAUUCAGUCUCGCGCAUUGGGAGGCGUCAUCCAUGGACCCUGGUAUCACCACAGCAAUGCGAUAGCUCGAUUUGGCAACAUCUAAGCCGAAACCGACGGAAAAUAAGAACGAAAUCGCUAAAACUUAAGGGCAACGACACCGAGCCUCGCCCGUGGAAAUGUAUUCAAAUGUAUGCGCGAUUAAUUCAGGCUGCAUAGCCAGCGGGACGGUGUUACUAGUGGCAGCAGUCUCACUUUCUACGUCGGAUCGAUGGGACCGUGACCUUCGCAAUGCUUAUUUGGCUUCUGGAUCGAUUUUUUUUUUCUAAUUUUUGACACCCGACCAAGGAGGUGAGGUCGCGCUAGGAGCGUUGUAGUUCCGGUGAUUCGACGCUGUGUUGGAAAUAUAGCGCGAUGUAUCCACGGAUUUAUAAUAUCCUAUUCCAUUUUGUAUCUGCUUUAGAAUCUAGACUCCAUCUGUGUCGUGUAGAAGUAUCCAGGAAGCAAGUCAUUUUAACCACGUGUUACAUAAAAUUAGCUGCAACCGAAGAAGUCAAGAAAAA